rnacentral:sRNA from 1 species
UUACCCAGAAUAAUCCGUCGUAGUAGCCAUUUGGCUAGGUGGGAACAACAGAGUUAUUGAGAAUAUACGUGGUAAAGCUACACCUGGGCACGUUGAAUGUU